rnacentral:tRNA from 1 species
GGCCCUUUGGCGCAAUUGGCAGUCGCGUCGGCUUCCAGUUCCGAAGGUUGUCCGUUCGAGUCGGGCAGGGGUCA